UAGGGAAUCUUCCGCAAUGGACGAAAGUCUGACGGAGCAACGCCGCGUGAGUGAAGAAGGAUUUCGGUUCGUAAAACUCUGUUGUUAGGGAAGAAAAAAUGUAUAGUAACUAUAUACAAAAGAUACGGUACCUAACCAGAAAGCCACGGUUAACUACGUGCCAGCAGCCGCGGUAAUACGUAGGUGGCAAGCGUUGUCCGGAAUUAUUGGGCGUAAAGCGCGCGCAGGUGGUUUAGAAAGUCUGAUGUGAAAGCCCACGGCUCAACCGUGGAGGGUCAUUGGAAACUAAUAAACUUGAGUGCAGGAGAGAAAAGUGGAAUUCCUAGUGUAGCGGUGAAAUGCGUAGAGAUUAGGAGGAACACCGGUGGCGAAAGCGGCUUUUUGGCCUGCAACUGACACUGAGGCGCAAAAGCGUGGGGAGAAAACAGG
rnacentral:rRNA from 1 species